CUUUUUUGAUGGGAAUAGCGUAAGGACACGGUUUCAAUGGCGGAUCCUUCAGGAUUUGCCAAGAGAGGAUUUAGAUUUAAUAUAGCUUACAAGCUGGGUUUUAGUUGUUGCUCUCAGCAAUUGAGUUACCCUUGUUUCUGGACUAAGUUUGUGUUGUGUUUUCCUUUUCUUGGCAGCUCAUCUGAGUUCAAGAGAGAAAGCUAGGGCAAACUGUGUGUUUGCCUGAAGUGCACCGCAAAGGCCUUCUGCUAGAUGACUUUUCAAACUCAAAGAAGAUAAGCUAAAAAACAGAGGAAAGUUUCCUUCUCGGCAAAGAAGAUUGAGAGGAACAAAAUUAGAGAUCAGCUUCCAAGUUCAUUUUCACUCAAAUAUUAUUGAGGUCAAAUAACUAUAUGUGUAUAUAUAUAUAUAUAUAUAGUUUUAUAUAUAGUUAUAUAUAUUCAAAUAUAUUCAUAUAUAUACAUAUGUUUUCUAAUGUAUCAUAUUAUACAUAUAUGUUAUAAUGCAUACAUGCAUAUAUAUAUAUAUAUAUAUAUAUAUGCUGUGAUACAAUUCAUGUACCAUAAAGUUCCCUCAAGUUAUAAUUCAAUAUUUUUAGAAAAAUAUAUCAAGAGACUUGCACAACUCACCCCUGUAAUUAAUUGUAGACCAAUUUCCUCACCACAGAAAGAGAACCUCCAGCUUCAUUAGCCCUCCCUCCUCAUUUCUCCUCAAUUUAUCUCUGCUCUAGGCAAUCACUUAGCUCAUUUCUUUCUCUAUAGAUUUGCUUAUUCUAAACUUUUCUUAUAAAUGGAAUUACAUGUCCCCCUUUGUUAUCAGCUUUUGUCACUCAGCAUAAAUUUUCAAACCUCA
rnacentral:lncRNA from 1 species